AUUGAACGCUGGCGGCAGGCAUAACACAUGCAAGUCGAGCGAGCGGCGGACGGGUGAGUAAUGUCUGGGAAACUGCCUGAUGGAGGGGGAUAACUAAUGGAAACGGUAGCUAAUACCGCAUACCAUCAAAUGUGCACAGAGGGGAGUAGCUAGUAGGUGGGGGAACGGCUCACCUAGGCGACGAUACCUAGCUGGUCUGCGAGGAUGACCAGCCAUACUGGAACUUAGACACGGUCCCGACUCCUACGGGAGGCAGCAGUGGGGAAUAUUGCCCAAUGGGCGCAAGCCUGAUGCAGCCAUGCCGCGUGUGUGAAGAAGGCCUUCGGGUUGUAAAGCACUUUCAGCGGGGAGGCGUUACCCGCAGAAGAAGCACCGGCUAACUCCGUGCCAGCAGCCGCGGUAAUAC
rnacentral:rRNA from 1 species